GACAGUUCGGUCCCUAUCCGUCGCAGGCGUAGGAAAUUUGAGAAGACCUGUCCUUAGUACGAGAGGACCGGGAUGGACGUACCUCUGGUGUACCAGUUGUUCUGCCAAGGGCAUGGCUGGGUAGCUAUGUAUGGAAUGGAUAAGCGCUGAAAGCAUCUAAGCGCGAAGCCAACUUCAAGAUAAGAUUUCCCACCGCAAGGGUAAGACCCCAGAAAGACUAUCUGGUUG
rnacentral:rRNA from 1 species